GUGGGAUUAGCUAGUUGGUGAGGUAAUGGCUCACCAAGGCGACGAUCCCUAGCUGUUCUGAGAGGAUGAUCAGCCACACUGGGACUGAGACACGGCCCAGACUCCUACGGGAGGCAGCAGUGGGGAAUAUUGCACAAUGGGGGAAACCCUGAUGCAGCCAUGCCGCGUGUGUGAAGAAGGCCUUCGGGUUGUAAAGCACUUUCAGUAGGGAGGAAAGGGUGUAGUUUAAUACGCUAUAUCUGUGACGUUACCUACAGAAGAAGGACCGGCUAACUCCGUGCCAGCAGCCGCGGUAAUACGGAGGGUCCGAGCGUUAAUCGGAAUUACUGGGCGUAAAGCGUGCGCAGGCGGUUUGUUAAGCGAGAUGUGAAAGCCCUGGGCUCAACCUAGGAAUAGCAUUUCGAACUGGCGAACUAGAGUCUUGUAGAGGGGGGUAGAAUUCCAGGUGUAGCGGUGAAAUGCGUGGAGAUCUGGAGGAAUACCGGUGGCGAAGGCGGCCCCCUGGACAAAGACUGACGCUCAUGCACGAAAGCGUGGGGAGCAAACAGGAUUAGAUACCCAGGUAGUCCACGCCGUAAACGAUGUC
rnacentral:rRNA from 1 species